CUAAUAUUAUUUAUAGGUACUGAGGGCCAUUAUGUAAACUACUGAGUAAAUAUAAAAACAAGAUGGCGGAGUACAUGCUGUUUGUGGUUGUUUGUGGCCGAAAUAUCUCCAAGCAAAGCAAGAUAGAAAAGAAUUGUAAAGGGUCUUCAUACAUCAUUUUAAAAGUUGAGACAACAGAAAAAAGGUUUUAGCAGCUACCGCCAUCCUUUUAGAUGCAAAGAUAAAAAGGUUUAAAAAAACUUUUUUUUCUAUUUUGUCCUUGAAGACAUUAUUAGUUUGGUAGACUUUGUAAAACUACUUUGUAAAACUACAUUAUAACUGAGGCAUGAGAGUAACCCAAACAUGUGAAUUGGGUGGCCAACUGCAUAAAGUUAAACAUGCGUUAGCCGAUUAAAUGCAUUUAACGAGACCAAACCUUAUAUUGUAAAUACUAAAUGAAACUUUUAUUAAUGUUAUUGCUUUAUAUAAAAUUCUUUUUUGACAAACCAAAUCAGAUUAUACCCAUGAAAGAAAGAAAUAACACUGACUGAAGGCUGACCCAAGACAACCCUCAACCCUGUAGCUAUUGAUACACACCCAACCUCGUUCCCAGGCUCUUUCCUCUAACGAGAUUUUAAAAUCUUAUUUUAGAAAUGAAUAAAAUUAAAUUAACAUUUUUGAACCUUUUUAAAUAAAGUUUUAUCCUGAUUAAAAAUUGAAGGGAAAAAAUGAAUAAUUUACCCUCCACCAAGAAGGGAAUACACGAAAACACUCUACAGAAGUUCAACUUCAAUUGUGGAAGAAGUUAUUUCGUUGACGUUGACCUCAGAAUGACAUUUUUCAAAAUUGGUUUAGAAACGAACUUGGAGUAGGGUUAGGUUAGGGUUAGGACAAGGAUUAGGGUUAGAGUUGGUGUUUGGAAUAGGGUUAGUGUUAGUAAAACCGUUGCUUUGUUACGUUUUGUCAUUCUGAGGCCAGCGAAAUAACCUCUUCCUUCAAUUGUUCAGACGUUAAGCAAUAAUUACGAAAUCCUUGCGCAUUUUGAUUUCUACUUUACUACAAAAUAGUUUUUUUAUAAACUCUAUAAAAUAAUAUUGUUAUUAAAUUCAAAUGUUAUCUCCAUUAUACGAAUGCAUUAUGCGUGCAAUUGGACGUUCAAUAUGUCUAGCGUAAAACUCCCGUCAGAUACCACCAUGUAGUGCUCAGAAUUCACCUUAAAUUAAGAUUGCAGCGCUUCCUCUGUGUUAAGUGCUUGCCGGUUUCUUCUCCAGUUUCUCAAAGUGUCUCCUGGCGUUAUGAAUAUUGAUUAACGUUGCGGCAGAUGCUGUAAAAUUUGAAAAAUAAUUCAUUCAAUAUGAAACUACAGCAUAUAGAGCUUUGCACAUGACGUCACAGCCGCCAUGUUGGUGUUCCAAUUCAAAAGAAUUUUAAUUAG